rnacentral:rRNA from 1 species
CACGUAGGGCGCAAGCGUUGUCCGGAAUUAUUGGGCGUAAAGAGCUCGUAGGCGGUCUGUUGCGUCCGCUGUGAAAACUCGGGGCUUAACCCCGAGCCUGCAGUGGAUACGGGCAGACUAGAGGUAGGUAGGGGAGAAUGGAAUUCCCGGUGUAGCGGUGAAAUGCGCAGAUAUCAGGAGGAACACCGGUGGCGAAGGCACUCUACUGGGCCAUUACUGACACUGAGAGACGAAAGCUAGGGGAGCAAAUGGG